UGGCGUAAAAUUUAAUAUUUUAGCCAUUUAUUUAUUUUAGAGUGGGGCCACGACAAAAGUUGGGUCUUACGCAAUGGAAACUCAUGAACCCCGUCAGGUCCGGAAGGAAGCAGCGGUAAGUGAUAAUUUUUAUGUGCCGUGAGGUCGCCUGACUUUUGUUGUGGCCCGACGCUAAAAUGAUAAAUGCAUAUAGUAAGCAA
rfam:Pelosinus sp. TFO1, complete genome.